rnacentral:misc_RNA from 1 species
GUGAAUUAAACAUGCUUGGUGUCUUCGCUUCGGCAAGGCCCUUGCUUAAAUCACAUCCUAACACCUGCGAACUGUAAGACGUAUGAUGAGGUCUUUGGCCAAGUCAUCGUCUGCCCAUUUUUAACAAACAAUUAAUGUAACAAACGUAGUCUUAUUAUAACCUAAUA